rnacentral:lncRNA from 1 species
ACAUGAACUUCUUAACAAAUAUUUUUUAUACAAAAUACAUCUUAUACCAACUUGAUACAUUCGAUAGACACACAAAAAACCCACAAACAACAACACCUAUAACGGUGCUUGACCUGACUGAUUUCCCUAGGAAAUCUGCCGGAUGAUUUGUAGCAGUCGCCCUUAUAAAAUGCACUGAACCCCACGUAUUAACAUAGCGAGAAUGCAAAUACUUUGCGUCGCCGAACCGCACACACUCGCCGCAUUGCACGCACGCGAUUGCUUGAACUGCACGGAGGCGUUGCCCAUGCACUAUACCAGCAAGCGAGCUACAAAACAAACUUUCAGCGAGCUGUAAAAUAAACUUCAAUGGGCUGCAAAGAGGGCCCCCUCGCCCUGGAGAACCAGAGCCAUUGCCAACCUGGACCCGUAAUCCAUCCACUCCAGUGUCGUUGAGGAGCCCGCGACAACGGCAAGGAGCUCACCGCACUUCUUACAUCGGCACUUCCACCGGACUGCACGAACGCGUGCACCGCACUGCAUGACACAUGCCGGAGACCGUGAGGGCUCACCCUCAAUGAACUGCAUCAACACACUGGAAAAUAUACUCAACGGAAGCUUCUGAACAGCACUGCACCCAAUUCACUUAUCAGUUUUUCUAAAAAACAUUAGAAAAAAUAAAAUAAACAAUAGCAACUUUGUCGACAAAUAUAUUUAGAAAUGUGGCUAUAGCAGGGCACAUUGGACCUGGGCAUAUGGAUGCGAUCCACUAAAAAGACUAGACACAGGUUAGUCGUCGCAAGCAUGUAUUUAAUUAACAGCGGUCAAUGAACAAGAACCGGCAAGGAAACAUCAAUUCAGCAAACACCUAAGCUACACGCACGCACGAAUGGAUCAAGCAUAGAAAUGAAACUGGGGGAGGGAUGCGUAUCAAUGAAUCACCUCUGGUCUCCGCAAGUGAACAGACUGCACUUCAUGCAGGGGACAGUUCAUUAAAGCUGUUAUCCGUCCUGCAGGGUCGGGGAUGCCGAGAUACGACGAUGGCAGAGACCCCGAUGCAGGCCAUGACAGGGAUAGGGGAGUGGCAGAAGAAAGAAAUAUUAAUGGAGCUGGCCACUAGAGAGCCACGCCAUGCCACCACCAUGGGAGAGGACGACGAGGAGGACCAAGGAGGCGGCCCCGAGCGCCAUCCCUCUCCCACUCAUGCUCUCAGAAUAGGCUAGGUGGGGGAUGGGGGAGGUCAACGGAUCCAGGGCAUCUUCGGCGGAUCUUGGGGCGGAUGGGUGCCCGAUGCACCUCUGGUGACAGUCGGUGGCGGUAGAGCCGGCCUGAUCCAGCGUGGUCACCCCCCUCCUUCCCAUGGAUGGAUCUGGUGGCGGGCUCGUAGGAGAAUGCUGGAGUGGAUCCCAGUGGAGAUGGCGCGGGGCAAGGAGGCGUCAUGGCGGCGCGAGGGUAGGAGGCGGCGCUGGGGAAGGAGGCGGGGCGGUGGUGCGGGGGUAGGAGGCGACGAGGCGGGGAUGGGGAGUGUGCGACGUGAAGCGGGGGUUCGUGGGGGACACGGUGGUCGUGGGAGAGAAGGAGGAUUUGGUGGAUAAGAAGAUAAGGUGGGAUAGUGUUUUUUUAUGCACGCGCAGUUCGCUCGGUGUAGUUUGUAGCUACGGUGCAGU